GGUUGUAACUCAGCGGUAGAGCACUCGCCCAGCAUGUGCAAGACCCUGGGUUCGAUCCUCAGCACCA
rnacentral:tRNA from 1 species